rnacentral:rRNA from 1 species
UUGAUGGCAUCUUCGAUGUACCAAAGCUUUUGCGCUGAAGGAUGGGCUCGCGUCUGAUUAGAUAGUUGGUGGGGUAAUGGCCUACCAAGUCGACGAUCAGUAGCCGGACUGAGAGGUUGAACGGCCACAUUGGGACUGAGACACGGCCCAGACUCCUACGGGAGGCAGCAGUGGGGAAUAUUGCACAAUGGGCGCAAGCCUGAUGCAGCAACGCCGCGUGGAGGAAGACGGUUUUCGGAUUGUAAACUCCUGUUCUUAGUGAAGAAUAAUGACGGUAGCUAAGGAGCAAGCCACGGCUAACUACGUG